rnacentral:rRNA from 1 species
UACGGAGGGUGCAAGCGUUAAUCGGAAUUACUGGGCGUAAAGGGUGCGCAGGCGGUUCUGCAAGUCAGGCGUGAAAUCCCCGGGCUUAACCUGGGAAUGGCGCUUGAAACUACGGGACUAGAGUAUGGCAGAGGGAGGUGGAAUUCCACGUGUAGCGGUGAAAUGCGUAGAGAUGUGGAGGAACACCGAUGGCGAAGGCAGCCUCCUGGGAUAACACUGACGCUCAUGCACGAAAGCGUGGGGAGCAAACAGG